UAUCUAAUUCUUUUUUUUAGUUCUGGAUUACUAAAUACUGAAGGAUAGAUUGUUUUCAUAUUGCCCCUCAAUCUUUUAAUACGUGUUUUUAACAUGGAUCUGAUACAUUUAAUCCAUUUUGACAAAAUGUAUAUAAUCCUUAAAAAUGUGAGUUCCACAGCAGUUUUGAAUACCACAGAGGCACCUACACCAUGUUAUAAUCAAAUAAUGUUAAUAGGAUUAUUUUUUAUUUCCCAUCAAAUUUUAUGCUUUAUAUUAUAUUCUAAAAUUAUUAGGUAUAAACUUGAAUUACAUUGAACACUUGGUAUUUCUAGAAAUAAUAUGCAGUUUAUUAAAAUUUCUGUUUUCAACGAAAUGUUGCAUUUUAUUUAUACCAUCCAAAUGAAUGAUUUCUGCUUUAAAAGUAAUGUUUUUAUUUAGCUGUAUGAGUCGAGUAAAAUACUUGAAGGAGAAAAUCCUUUCGUUUUAAUUUUGAUCAUUGUAGGCAAAAGGCGACUUGGCGAAAGUUGCUCUUUAAGUAUACAAUGUUCUGGAAGCGAAAAUGCUGGAAAGUGUAAAACUCAGAAUUAUCUGGAAACUUUAACCAAGAGAAAUCAUGCCAAUGCGACGAUAACUUCCUACCGGUGCUAGGACUCUGUCUUCCGGGUAAUUUAUCAGUAGGAAAUGAAUGCUACCUUUCAUCACAGUGUUCCAGUACAAGACAUGCAGAUCGAUGUGUUGAUGGAUAUUGUCACUGUCAAGAAGGAUUUCUUCUAAAGGAACAAAAGUGCUUACCUGGUACACUGCUUCUUGGAGAAAGCUGUGAAUUUAAUGAACAGUGCAGUGGUACAAAAAAUGCUGGAAGCUGCAAAUAUGCAGGAAGUGUAAAUUUUACAGUUAGUAAACAAUGCAAUUGUGAUGAGGGUUAUUCAAAUUUUCGUGGAGACUGUCUUCCAGGCAAUUUAUCUGUUGGUCAGGAAUGUUUUCGCUCUCCGCAGUGCACUAAUGCAGAUCCUGCUGUACGAUGUGUUGAUGGUCACUGUCUCUGUAUGGAUGGAUAUCAAAUGAGGGGACGGAAAUGUGUCGAUGACACAAAUAAAGAAAACACAAAGAAACAAAAAG